UGGGUAGUCCGCACGAGCGCAANCCCUAUCCUUAUUUGCCAGCACGUAAUGGUGGGAACUCUAGGGAGACUGCCGGUGAUAAACCGGAGGAAGGUGGGGACGACGUCAAGUCAUCAUGGCCCUUACGAGUAGGGCUACACACGUGCUACAAUGGCGUAUACAGAGGGUUGCAAAGCCGCGAGGUGGAGCUAAUCCCACAAAGUACGUCGUAGUCCGGAUCGGAGUCUGCAACUCGACUCCGUGAAGUCGGAAUCGCUAGUAAUCGUGGAUCAGAAUGCCACGGUGAAUACGUUCCCGGGCCUUGUACACACCGCCCGUCACACCAUGGGAGUGGGCUGCAAAAGAAGUGGGUAGUUUAACCUUCGGGAGAACGCUCACCACUUUGUGGUUCAUGACUGGGGUGAAGUCGUAACAAGGUAGCCCUAGGGGAACCUGGGGCUGGAUCACCUCCUU
rnacentral:rRNA from 1 species